GCUACAUUAAACAACCUAUUUUGAAACGAAGACGUGCCUGCAUUUAUUUUUCUACUUACAAAAGUACGGCGGAAUAAAUUGAACUCUUAAAAAUUCCACAUUAUUGGCGAGCCAGCCCAAAUCCGUCGUUCUUGUUGCGUUUUUCAAAAAAAAAAAAAAAAAAAAACUGGGGAGACUGACAUUCGUGUGUGACACUGGCCUACAGAAGAGACUUUCUUUUUUAUGCUGACGCCGAAUUCAAGAAAGGAUUACAGCAAGAGGAGGACUGUUUUGGAAGCCAUUUGCCAACGCUGAAGGAAAAACGGACUUGAAGGCACGGAACGGACCACGUACAUUUAAUUAAUUGUGAUGAGGAUGAGGCUCCUGGUAUUCAGGAACAGGUUGGAGGUCAGCACUAAGUGGGACAUUCCUAUCAUAUUCAUAAACAGCACACAAUGUGUCAAGGACAAUACGCGCAGUUGAUGUUGGAUUCACCGAAUGGACAUCAGACAGGUGGAAAGAUGGUGAAGCGUUCACAACAGAGGACACAUGGAAAGUAUCAAGUGAAUCUUAAUUUAGAACACAUGAUUGAGGGUGGAAGACAGCUUCCAAGAAUACAAGAAUUCAUUGUGAUAGUAAAAGCUCGUAAUUGGACACAUUAUGAUAACGCAAUAACUAGUUGGGAUGAGGGACAGUAUAACCAGGGGAGAUGGGCCAUGGAGCAUGGAUCUACAUAUUACCCUGGUCGAACAAUGAUGCAUCUAAAUUUAUACGGUUAAAAUAAAUAAAUAAAUAAAUAAUAAUACAUAUAUGUAUGAAGUUACAUUUGAGAAUAGACAAUGCCAACCUCUAAAGGAAUGGGAAGACUCAAGCAGUUGGACUGAAGCAAAUGUCCUCCACUGCACCCUAUUCCUAGAGAAGGCAUCAUUUUUGGACCAGAAGGAAAAAGAAAAAGGGUUUAUAAUAUGAUGUAAAUAUGGUAUUCAUGCAUGCUGUUUAUGAUUGAGCUAAUGUCAUUGUCGUGUUUGAUCAGUAUAAGGGAAUGGCUGAAUCAACAGAUUAUUACAUUCAUACAUGUUAUGCAUGAAAGUCAUGCAAUAAUUAUAUCUAUUAACUAUAAUGAACUGUCCACAGAGAGGAAUGUUCAUCCUUUAGAGGAAGUGGAGAGCGUGGUGGACCAGUGUCACUGGUGUAUUCUGAGUCACCCCACAGGAUUUCCAUAUGGUAAUAUAAGGUGUUAAUCACCCCCUGGUUUCUGGUUUACACCAGCAUACACUGUUCAGAUGGGGAACAUUCGUUUACCUACUACUGAUGCCAGUGAGUCCAACAGCUUGGCCAUGUGGGAGGAUGCCUACCUGGUUCCUCAGUCAAAUGUGUCAGGUAUUCAUGCUCAGGUGAAGAAAGCUCUAAUGGAGAGUGAUUCAACACUACAGGCCACAGUCCUGAAGCGACAAGGAUGCUCUGAUGAAAACACAUUUUUGGAACUGGAUAUUCCUGGCAAUUGUAGGUCUAAUAGUAAUUCAUAUCCCCAAUGAUCAAACACAGUGUUAUUGCUGGCAUAAACAGAAAAA